rnacentral:rRNA from 1 species
GAAUAACGUUUGGGAACGAACGCUAAUACCGCAUAACAUGAGAGAACGGCAUCGUUCUUUCAUCAAAGAUUUUAUCGCUGAGAGAUGGGCUCGCGGCCGAUUAGGUAGUUGGUGAGAUAACAGCCCACCAAGCCGACGAUCGGUAGCCGGACUGAGAGGUUGAACGGCCACAUUGGGACUGAGACACGGCCCAGACUCCUACGGGAGGCAGCAGUGGGGGAUAUUGCACAAUGGAGGAAACUCUGAUGCAGCGACGCCGCGUGAGGGAAGACGGUCUUCGGAUUGUAAACCUCUGUCUUUAGGGACGAAAAAUGACGGUACCUAAGGAGGAAGCCACGGCUAACUACGUGCCAGCAGCCGCGGUAAUACGUAGGUGGCAAGCGUUGUCCGGAAUUACUGGGUGUAAAGGGAGCGUAGGCGGGGAGACAAGUUGAAUGUCUAAACUAUCGGCCUAACUGAUAGUCGCGUUCAAAACUAUCACUCUUGAGUGCAGUAGAGGUAGGCGGAAUUCCUAGUGUAGCGGUGAAAUGCGUAGAUAUUAGGAGGAACACCAGUGGCGAAGGCGGCCUACUGGGCUGUAACUGACGCUGAGGCUCGAAAGCGUGGGUAGCAAACAGGAUUAGAUACCCUGGUAGUCCACGCCGUAAACGAUGAUUACGAGGUGUGGGGGGACUGACCCCUUCCGUGCCGGAG